rnacentral:rRNA from 1 species
GACGAACGCUGGCGGCGUGCCUAAUACAUGCAAGUCGAACGCAGUGGGGACGGGUGAGUAACACGUGGGUAACCUCCCAUCAGAGGGGAUAACACUUGGAAACAGGUGCUAAACCGAUACUGAUUGAUGGACCCGCGGUGCAUUAGCUAGUUGGUGAGGUAACGGCUCACCAAGGCCACGAUGCAUAGCCGACUUGAGAGGGUGAUCGUCCACCCUGGCACUGGUACACGGCCCAGACGCCGACGGGAGGCAGAAGCAGGGAAUCUUCGGCAAUGGACGAAAGUCUGAUCGAGCAACGCCGAGUGAGUGAAGAAGGUCUUCGGAUCGUAAAACUCUGUUGUUAGAGAAGCGGUAUCUAACCAGAAAGCAACGGCUAACUACGUGCCAGCAGCCGCGGUAAUUC